UACGGAGGGUGCAAGCGUUAUCCGGAUUCACUGGGUUUAAAGGGCGCGUAGGCGGCUUUGCAAGUGGCGGGUGAAAUCCCUCGGCUUAACCGAGGAACUGCCUGCCAGACUGUGAGGCUCGAGACCGGGAGAGGUGAGUGGAAUUCCCAGUGUAGCGGUGAAAUGCGUAGAUAUUGGGAGGAACACCAGUGGCGAAGGCGGCUCACUGGACCGGAACUGACGCUGAGGCGCGAAAGCGUGGGGAGCGAACAGG
rnacentral:rRNA from 1 species